GACGAACGCUGGCGGCGUGCUUAACACAUGCAAGUCGAACGGAAAGGCCCUGCUUUUGUGGGGUGCUCGAGUGGCGAACGGGUGAGUAACACGUGAGUAACCUGCCCUUGACUUUGGGAUAACUUCAGGAAACUGGGGCUAAUACCGGAUAGGAGCUCCUGCUGCAUGGUGGGGGUUGGAAAGUUUCGGCGGUUGGGGAUGGACUCGCGGCUUAGUAGCUUGUUGGUGGGGUAGUGGCUUACCCAGGCUUUGACGGGUAGCCGGCCUGAGAGGGUGACCGGCCCCAUUGGGCCUGAGAUACGGCCCAGACUCCUACGGGAGGCAGCAGUGGGGAAUAUUGCACAAUGGGCGGAAGCCUGAUGCAGCAACGCCGCGUGCGGGAUGACUGCCUUCGGGUUGUAAACCGCUUUCGCCUGUGACGAAGCGUGAGUGACGGUAAUGGGUAAAGAAGCACCGGCUAACUACGUG
rnacentral:rRNA from 1 species